UUAACAAAUACCAACAUUAUUAUUUUCUUUUUGAGCUUCUCGAUCACUGUAGCCCAUGCUACGAGUCUCUUCUUCAACUCCCAUUCUAGCUCCCCAAAAGCCCAGGAAUGAGUUGGGGUGCCGUAGCCCUACCCGUGUGCAAUAAUAGGCUAUGAGUUUGUGGUGGAGAGGGAAUGCAUCUGUUACACUGUACCAUCCUGAGCGCUUACUGCAGUGCUCUGUGCCUGACUAUGACACAGUGCGGUUGUAGUGGCAGAAACUGAGUCACCAACAGCAAUCAUUGAGUACUUAAUAGGGCCUAAACCCUGGGAGACUGAGUUGGAGCCUAUUCUGCGGAAGAAUUCUCGAUGACUUCUCUCGCUGCUUGUCUUGGCACCUAAUGAAAUGGGUGUAAUUUAUUUCCCUUAAUGUCUGUCUUCCCCCUCUACAGGACAGUACAAGUGUAGUAGUGGGCAGAGAAUAUGUCGAUUGUGAUAUCGUGCUCUGCUCCAUCUAAGUGCCGGAUAAAUACGACCGACUGAAAUAGGCCUCUAACCCCCAUCCUGUUCAUCAUGUGGUAUUCUGUCAAAGAGCCUUCAUUAAUCCCUUUUGCUGUCUUAGUGCACUACUGCUGCGCUUCACUGUCUGUACUGACUUAAGAUGUUUUUUAUGUACUCGUACUGCCCUUUCAAGCUUACCUGGGGUUCAGGGUGCACAGCUUCAUGUACUGACCCUGCAUAUGCCAUUGCACCAGUGUGUAACUCGAUUUUAAUGUCUUGGCACGUAGACUGAAAGCUUCUGGAGAGCAGGCGCCGUGUGUGCUCCGUGUUGAACUCUUUAAAGCAUCUGUACCUUGUUCCAGAGUCAGUGCUUCCUGCCUCUAGACUGUUAACUUGUUGUUGGCAGGGCCCUUGCCUGUCGUUCUAUUGUACUCUCCCAAGGGUAUAUGGCAAGCACAGUGCUCUGCACGUGGAGGUCAAAUACAAUCAGCUGGCUGACUUAGGUUGUAAGCUCCCAGUGGGCAGAGGCUGUGUCCCCCCUGCAAAGAAGGUGCUUAAUGGGUUAUGGUUUUCCUCAAGGCUGAGCAAAUUUGGGGUCAGCUGCCCCAAUGGGAUGCUACCAUUGGAGUGGAGGCGAAGUGGGGGUGAUGGCCCACAUUGGUACUGGUAAGUGUUGAGGGACUUGGCUGCAUGAGGAAAAAAGGCACAAGUCCAGUUCUUUUUGCCCCCCACCCCCCGGGAGAAGUUUCUCGGGCAAUCCUGCUUAGAGGACCAAGGCAGAAGCCUGAGCUCCAGAUGCAUCAUGGGAGACCCAGCCUCCCCGAGGACAUCUUGGGAGACCCAGCCUCCCCGAGGACAUCUUGGUGCGGACAGGAGGAUAAGUGUUGUACCCCAAACCCUGGACUCUUGGAGCUGUGUUUGGGACAAAUGAGAGGAAUCAAUGGAAGCCACAGCCCGGACCUGCACCGGACCUGCACCGGACCAUCCGCCCCCAUGCAGAGUGGAGGACAAACCGCUCCUCACGGGAUGUCAUGGACAUUGCCCCGGCCCCGCUAUUUGGGGAGUCACCUGGCACCAGCCUGCUGCCACCGGGUCACUCCCCCACCCCCCCGCCUUUUGCCUCCUACCCCACCUUCCCCCUCAGCCCCUAACUGUAUCCCCUCCCUCCAGACAAUGCCAUUUCCUUUGGUGGUCAAGGGUCAAACGUUGCAUCAUGGGUGCCACACGAAUCUCUGGCAAUUCCUAGACGUGAUGGAUGUGCGUGUGUCUCUGGUGUGAGAAGGAGGGCCGGGACCAGAGCAGGGUGAGAGGGGCCACCCCUCUUUGGAGGGGGAGGUGGGUUCUGGAAAGAGGGGUCUAGAGUUCUGGACAGGUAUUCCGAGGAUGGACUUCAAGACCAGGUGUGAAGUCGCCUGGGGCCCUUAAUUCUAUAGUCAGUGUGGCUUCCUCCAGGUCUGGUCCACUGG